GAUGAACGCUGGCGGCGUGCCUAAUACAUGCAAGUCGAGCGAACGGACGAGAAGCUUGCUUCUCUGAUGUUAGCGGCGGACGGGUGAGUAACACGUGGAUAACCUACCUAUAAGACUGGGAUAACUUCGGGAAACCGGAGCUAAUACCGGAUAAUAUUUUGAACCGCAUGGUUCAAAAGUGAAAGACGGUCUUGCUGUCACUUAUAGAUGGAUCCGCGCUGCAUUAGCUAGUUGGUAAGGUAACGGCUUACCAAGGCAACGAUGCAUAGCCGACCUGAGAGGGUGAUCGGCCACACUGGAACUGAGACACGGUCCAGACUCCUACGGGAGGCAGCAGUAGGGAAUCUUCCGCAAUGGGCGAAAGCCUGACGGAGCAACGCCGCGUGAGUGAUGAAGGUCUUCGGAUCGUAAAACUCUGUUAUUAGGGAAGAACAUAUGUGUAAGUAACUGUGCACAUCUUGACGGUACCUAAUCAGAAAGCCACGGCUAACUACGUGCCAGCAGCCGCGGUAAUACGUAGGUGGCAAGCGUUAUCCGGAAUUAUUGGGCGUACAGCGCGCGUAGGCGGUUUUUUAAGUCUGAUGUGAAAGCCCACGGCUCAACCGUGGAGGGUCAUUGGAAACUGGAAAACUUGAGUGCAGAAGAGGAAAGUGGAAUUCCAUGUGUAGCGGUGAAAUGCGCAGAGAUAUGGAGGAACACCAGUGGCGAAGGCGACUUUCUGGUCUGUAACUGACGCUGAUGUGCGAAAGCGUGGGGAUCAAACAGGAUUAGAUACCCUGGUAGUCCACGCCGUAAACGAUGAGUGCUAAGUGUUAGGGGGUUUCCGCCCCUUAGUGCUGCAGCUAACGCAUUAAGCACUCCGCCUGGGGAGUACGACCGCAAGGUUGAAACUCAAAGGAAUUGACGGGGACCCGCACAAGCGGUGGAGCAUGUGGUUUAAUUCGAAGCAACGCGAAGAACCUUACCAAAUCUUGACAUCCUUUGACAACUCUAGAGAUAGAGCUUUCCCCUUCGGGGGACAAAGUGACAGGUGGUGCAUGGUUGUCGUCAGCUCGUGUCGUGAGAUGUUGGGUUAAGUCCCGCAACGAGCGCAACCCUUAAGCUUAGUUGCCAUCAUUAAGUUGGGCACUCUAAGUUGACUGCCGGUGACAAACCGGAGGAAGGUGGGGAUGACGUCAAAUCAUCAUGCCCCUUAUGAUUUGGGCUACACACGUGCUACAAUGGACAAUACAAAGGGCAGCGAAACCGCGAGGUCAAGCAAAUCCCAUAAAGUUGUUCUCAGUUCGGAUUGUAGUCUGCAACUCGACUACAUGAAGCUGGAAUCGCUAGUAAUCGUAGAUCAGCAUGCUACGGUGAAUACGUUCCCGGGUCU
rnacentral:rRNA from 1 species